rnacentral:rRNA from 1 species
AGAUGGGAGCUUGCUCCCUGAUGUUAGCGGCGGACGGGUGAGUAACACGUGGGUAACCUGCCUGUAAGACUGGGAUAACUCCGGGAAACCGGGGCUAAUACCGGAUGCUUGUUUGAACCGCAUGGUUCAGACAUAAAAGGUGGCUUCGGCUACCACUUACAGAUGGACCCGCGGCGCAUUAGCUAGUUGGUGAGGUAACGGCUCACCAAGGCAACGAUGCGUAGCCGACCUGAGAGGGUGAUCGGCCACACUGGGACUGAGACACGGCCCAGACUCCUACGGGAGGCAGCAGUAGGGAAUCUUCCGCAAUGGACGAAAGUCUGACGGAGCAACGCCGCGUGAGUGAUGAAGGUUUUCGGAUCGUAAAGCUCUGUUGUUAGGGAAGAACAAGUGCCGUUCAAAUAGGGCGGCACCUUGACGGUACCUAACCAGAAAGCCACGGCUAACUACGUGCCAGCAGCCGCGGUAAUACGUAGGUGGCAAGCGUUGUCCGGAAUUAUUGGGCGUAAAGGGCUCGCAGGCGGUUUCUUAAGUCUGAUGUGAAAGCCCCCGGCUCAACCGGGGAGGGUCAUUGGAAACUGGGGAACUUGAGUGCAGAAGAGGAGAGU